CUUUGUCUGCCUGUCGGAAGCCCGCAGCCCUGCGCGCCCCGUCGGGGCCGGGCACGGAGCUGCCGCCGGCGGGGCUGGGGGCUGCGGGCCGGACAAUGGGGCGGCGGCGGGACUUUGUUUAACCCCAUUGCCCCCCAGCCGGCCGGGAUCAGGGGUCAAGGGCUUCGCCAGUCGCCGGGGCACGGCCCCGGGGGAAAGCCACGUCGGGGGGGCGGCCGGUGCGGGACCCCUCCGGAGAGAGGCACCUGGGGGGGUGAGGAGGGCUCCGGGAGGGUGUUUGGGGUUUUUUUUUAGGGGGGACAGAGCGGGGCUACACGUUUUUCUAGGAGAGGGAGGUGAGAAGCGGCCGCUGCCCCCCGGCACCCCCCGGUUCUGCCUUCGCCCCCCGGUUCGGGGGGUGGGUGUGGGGGGGCUGCGGGAGGAGGCAGCCGGCUUUGGGGGCGUGCAGCCUCUCCCCGGGCAGAGGGGGCCUCGUGCCGCCUCUCCAGGAGCCGAGAAAUGGGCAUUUUAUAGGUGACGUACGGGCUUACGUGGGAAUCCGUGCCCAGCACCGCGCUCCCGGCGCCUUUUCUCCUGCCACGACACUUCCCCGCAGCUCGCACCCCCCUUGCCAGCCUGGGAGGGGGGGGGGUCAGCGGGAGGGGGGCAGGAGAAGGGAAAAGAAAAGCAGCCCCCUCUUUUUGCUGCUCGGGAGAUCAGCCCCGGAGCUCCGAAAGUGAGCGAGGGCGAGGGCGAGAGGAAGCGGCCGGCAGCCGGCACCGAGCCGAGGGGCCGGGGGGGGCCGGCAGGGGAGGAAGACCCCCCCCAAACCCCUUUUAUUUUUAUUUUAUUUUUUUUAUUUUCUGGGACUAGGGGCGAGCCGGCGGGGGAGGAGGCUGGCACCCGAGGUUUCGACUCUGGGUGAGCAAAAGGAUUUCUUACACUCCCCGGGAAGAGGAGAAGACGCUUUUUAUGGUGUUACUUAAUUGCUUUUAAAAUAAAAUACUACGGAAUUUGG